rnacentral:lncRNA from 1 species
GACUCUCUUUCGGGCUUCCUCAAGUAGAUCCAAACUUGCUUGGAGCCAUUCAGAAUUAUUCUAUUCAUCAUAGUUCUUGACCCAUGAUUAGGGAAUCCCAACUUCAAUUGGAAUGACCACCUCUGUCCUGAAGCCGAGGCUGAAGAAGGUUUCUCUGAUGGAUAUUCUCUAUGUGGUUCAAUAAACCUAGAGUACAUGAUGAA